rnacentral:lncRNA from 1 species
GAAGCACGCUGUAGUGUUAUUUGUUCCGAAGUUACAGCACAAAUGAAAGCAAAGAAAUUCCAGAACAAAAAACUUGCUUGCUUGCUUCCCAUUUCAGUGAUACAUGAGAUUAUUCAGUUCAAUAGCAACCAUCCUCGCAGCAGACUUUGCCGCAAUGGCUCAAUGGUCUCCAAAUGAACCAGCAACACCUGCAUCCUUUAGUGAUCAGAAACAUAAAGCAUCUUGUUAGAACGAGGUCUAAUGCAAAAGCAGAGCAGAAUGUGUUUGACAGUAAUGUAAAACAAGCAUACUCCACUCAUCAAUGAAACUUAAGUUCCUGUGGGACUGCUGACCACAGAAUCUAAAACCUAAACUCAUUGUUGUUUCUAGUCUUCGAGAAGUAUAGUGAUAUCGAUUCAUAGGCAGCAUGAUAAAAAAUGCCAGGAAAUUUACCUUGUGGAUGAACGUCGGUAGCUUUGGUCUCCAUUUGUGCACUUGAGCCAGGUUAGAAGCAGCAGGAGAGUGUUUCUCUUCAUCUUCACUUCACGGCAAGGAAGAGCAACUUCAAGCUGC